GUUUGUUUCAACAACAACAACAACAACAACAAAAAUACCAUAAUUUCUCUCUCCCCCCCUUUAGCAAACAUGCACCUGCUCUGCUUUCCCUCUUAAGGUGGGGGAUUCUUGUCAGUUCCUUUCCAUUCCCCAAAUGAGCUGUGAGAUCCACAUUCAAAUUUGCAGCUGACAGUUUAGGGUUAAGAUAUAAUUCCAGGUAACAGAAGCCAAUGAGAGUAUACCCCGUUGAUGUUUGUGACAUCAUCCUACAGUCGGAGUACACAGAACAGCUGAGGUAGCCUUCAGCCUCAGUACCAGUUGCCAUUAUGAUGGAUGUUUACAUCUCUUCAUUGAGAGCCAAUUAUUUUGCUUUUGUGUGAGGCCCAAGAAUCGCUCAUGCUGCCGGCAUUCACAGAGCCUGUUGGAUGUAGCUGAACGAAUUGUUUUCUCUCCUCCUGUGAAAAAUCAUGGGAAGAAUGUGUAAGCCACCAAAUCUGCAGGAAACUCAAAUGCAUGAUUCUUCAAAGUCAUAACAGUUCAACCAAUGAUUAGCCUAUGUUUACUGCUCUGAAGUCAACUUAAAUGGAGCUUACUACUAGGAGAAGUCUGGCUCUGAGGAGAGAGAAGUUACACAGAAUGUAAGUGCUUUGUAUGAAAUUCUCCCAUUGUGUGAAACCUCAGUGAUACAUAUGAUGAACAUUUCUUGAUGUUUAUUGAUAUAGUGAAGAACUGGUUUCAUCGUGGAUUUAACAACUGUGGGUCAAUGGGAAACGCACAUGGAAGCAGUAGGAGCUGAGGAGCAGAAGGGG
rnacentral:lncRNA from 1 species